GGAGAAAUGAAUCACCCUGGGAUCUGACUCAAAGAUAAAGCCUUGGCCUUUCCACUGGGAUACGAUUGUUAAACACAAGCAUGCAACGUGGACACAAUUGAGAUCCAAAGGCUUCCUGUGGCUGAGACCAACCACCACCUGAUUCCCGGCUCGUCCUGGACCUCAUUUCCAACUACGCCCUUGCCACUUAAGCCUGGGGCCCCUCCGCUAACGCAUCCCCCUGUCCGGAGAGAGCAUGGACGGAGCUCUGUGUGUAGCUUAGGCUCUGCUCAAAUCUGCCCUGAGCAGACAGGCUUUCUGGACCACCUUCUAGAAGAUAGCACCUCUCUCCGCCUCAGGGACAUUGGCUCACAUUCCAGUCUUACCCUGAUGUUCCGAGCCCUCCAGCCAGCCCUGAUCUCCAUCACAUAGACUUAAGCAUGACUAGAGGUUUACUGAUCCACAUGCCUGUCAUUCCGGACAGGAGAGCUCUCUACUUGCGGACAUUAAUUUCAACUGUGUGACUGCGGCAGGUGAGAGAGAACCAGUAAAAUCAGCAAGAGUUAAAAAAAAAAAAUCGCAGUGAUGUAUGCUGAGUCUUUUCAAACUCCUUGUUCAGGAGUAAUCACAAAAUUUGCCCACCUCAACAAGUUAAACCUAAAGGGCACGGGCCAACACCAACCGAAUAAGCACAAGCCAUUUACCUCAAGCCCGCUGUGUCAACAUCUAACCGAGAAGAAACUGGACAGGCCUGGGGCCAGGACA